CCUACGGGAGACAGCAGUGAGGAAUAUUGGUCAAUGGACGAGAGUCUGAACCAGCCAAGUAGCGUGAAGGAUGACUGCCCUAUGGGUUGUAAACUUCUUUUAUAUGGGAAUAAAAUGUUCCACGUGUGGGAUUUUGUAUGUACCAUAUGAAUAAGGAUCGGCUAACGCCGUGCCAGCCGCCGCGGUAAUACGGAGGAUCCGAGCGUUAUCCGGAUUUAUUGGGUUUAAAGGGAGCGUCGGUGGAUUGUUAAGUCAGUUGUGAAAGUUUGCGGCUCAACCGUAAAAUUGCAGUUGAAACUGGCAGUCUUGAGUACAGUAGAGGUGAGCGGAAUUCGAGGUGUAGCGGUGAAAUGCUUAGAUAUCACGAAGAACUCCGAUUGCGAAGGCAGCUCACUGGACUGCAACUGACACUGAGGCUCGAAAGUGUGGGUAUCAAACAGGAUUAGAUACCCUUGUAGUC
rnacentral:rRNA from 1 species